UACGUAGGGUGCAAGCGUUAAUCGGAAUUACUGGGCGUAAAGCGUGCGCAGGCGGUGAUGUAAGACAGGUGUGAAAUCCCCGGGCUUAACCUGGGAACUGCAUUUGUGACUGCAUCGCUGGAGUGCGGCAGAGGGGGAUGGAAUUCCGCGUGUAGCAGUGAAAUGCGUAGAUAUGUGGAGGAACACCGAUGGCGAAGGCAGCCCCCUGGGUUAACACUGACGCUCAUGCACGAAAGCGUGGGGAGCAAACAGG
rnacentral:rRNA from 1 species